rnacentral:tRNA from 2 species
GGGGUCAUAGCUCAGUUGGCUAGAGCGCUUCCCUGUCACGGAAGAGGUCGCGAGUUCGAGUCUCGUUGGCCCCG